rnacentral:lncRNA from 1 species
GAGGUUGAGGUUGGGUGAGGCUCAAGGUAGAAAGAGAAGACGGAAGAGAGGAUGGAGAUUAAGGGGGGAGAGAGUGGAGGAGACAGAAGCAAGGAAGGACAAAUUUAGAGAGAACAGGAGCGGAGGGGAUGGGAAGGGAGGGAGGGAAAUGAGGGAAAACACUGAGGGAGAGACAGAGAGAAGAGGAGGGGGAGGUGGAAGGGAAGAGGAAUGCUGCAUUUCAGUGAUAGCACCGACAGAGGCUGCAGGAGCAGACAGAAAGAUGGAGAAAAACGAUGAGAGAGGUAGAAAAUAAGAGAGGGGAGCAGCAGGAUUCCCAGACAGGUAAAAUAUUAAACGGCUAUAAAAUGAUAUAAAGAAUGUUUUUAAUUUCUCAUAUUUCAGUGAAAGACUCAGAGGGGCCUUCAAUGACAGGGGACACCAAAAAUUUACUUAAUAUCAUGGAAGAGUAGUCAACCUGUCCAUAUAUCCAUCCAUCCAUCCUGCUGUCCAUCAUUCCUCCCUUUAAUCCUAUAAGCUCCUCCUCUCACUUCACUCCAUAUCCAUCGUACAAUCAUCUAUCCAUUCCACCCACACAUACACACACAAACACACACACACACACAUACAAGGAGGCUUUUUCUCCACAACCGCCCCCUCUUCUUCAUCUUUCUCCUCCUCCCUCCGUAUCUCCUCUGCUGUCACUUCCACAGAUCCAGAGGGCAUCUCCUUUUUUCCCCCCUCAUUUUAUUCAUCUCCACACAUCCUUCUCAGUCCCUCUUAGAAGGUCUCCUCUGUGGUUGUGUGUUUACAGUGAGCAUUUAUCAUUUCUUUGUCUUUUUCCCCAGAUUGUGAGCCAACAAGUGCUUGAAGAAGCAGCAAAAAAAGGUAAAGGCAGGAUUAAAAAGAAGUGAUCAGAACAGAGAAAGAAAGGAGAAAAGAAAACAACUGUCAGCCCACAAAGACAGAAAGCUUCUUGAAGAUAAUAGAGGGCACAUGAAGCGAGAAAGUGUUUUUCUCUUUGCUUGGUCGUCCAUCCACAGGUCUUUUCUAUGACCGUCUCAGCAGGAUGCAGAGGCGUGAUUUCAGUGCUUGCAAAAAAAAACGACAAACAGACCCUGAUGUGAUGUUACAGAGUGAGAGGAAGAGGAGACAGAAAAAUUAGAGGAACAUUAGCAAGAUUCUGCGAGGGGAGAAAGGGAGGAGAGAGAGAGAGAGAGCGGUAUGAGUCAGAACACAGCGGCGAGAAGCGUGUGCGUUCUGCAUGCAAGAGGUGAGGUGGAUGAACAAUGAGAGAGAGAGAGAGAGAGAGAGAGGGAGGGAGGGAGAGAGAAAGAGAUGUAGAGGGGAAGAAUUGAGAGGACCUGAACAGAAUUGAGCAGCUGUUUGACCGAGGGAGGAGAGGAUGAGGAGCAGACGCAGGGAGACACAGAGGCUGGGUGAAUCAGCUUGCUAAAGAUUUAGUUUGGAAGGUAGAGUUUAGAGACGGCUGAGGGAAGGGUGAAUGAAGAUUUGCUGAAGGCUGGACAGUGCAUGGAAAAGAGUUAAGGGCAAGGAUGAGGUUAAUGAGGGAAAAAGCAUUUGAAACGCUGAAGGGCAGAAAGUUCUGAGUGACAACAGGGCAGACAUACCAAGAAGCUUCAGGAGGGAUGAACACAGACAAAGCAGAGCCAAGAAAAAGCAAAACAUAGCAAUAGGGAGCAAAUCAGGAACUGUCACAGCAGCAUUUAGCGGGGAAAAAAAAAACACAGCGAGAGUAAAAUCAACGGACCAAAAGAACAUGUCAUGCGACGCACAACGACAGGAACAUGGAAACUUUAACUGUGACAGCAACACAGCAAGACAUUCCUGUUAAAUAUUGAUGCUGACAGGCCACUCUGAAAGGAGCCUGGCCCUUUCACCACCACAGAGGGGGGGACACGGAGAGAGGAGGCUGACUUUUUAUCCGGGUGUUUUUAUUUUUUAUUUUUAUUUUGCAUAGGAACGGACGAGCGUCGGAUGACAACCAAGUGUGGUCAAGUUGGAAUGUUGCAACAAAUUUAGAGAGGACUGACAGAUUCGGCGAGACACUGCCUGCCUCCAGGAGGUUUUUCUCCUUUUGGCCAGCUGUGCUAAUUCUUGGGGAAAGUGGAAUGAGUACAGACAGAAGAAGUGCACUUUUUUUUGUGUGUGUGCGUUGGAAGAGGAAAAUCUACAUUUGAGAAAUCCCUGCUCUCACAGCAAGACUAGAACAACCUGAUUUUCUACAAGACAAAGGAAAAAGGUUGGCUGAUGACUUUGGCGUCCUGUUUUGGGUUGACACAUUGAACCUUCGAUCACUGCCAGAGGUGAAGAGACAACUACUGAGGAUCCUCUUUUUCUUCCCGUUCGACAAGGUGAAAAUGCUCCAACUAUCACUAAGAAAAUGUGAUUUUUUUCAGCUGUCAUGGCUUCAGGAAAUCCAACUGUGGAUCUGUUUUGAUGUGAACAAACAAGAAGGAUCCUUUAAGUGAAAACAGGAUGCGUAUUUUAAUUUUUGUCUCUGUAAUAGAUUGAUCCGCAACGGGUGAUUCUCCAACUUAAUGUGAUGAAGAAAAGCUGCCUUCCUCCAGUCUGAUCUGAUCCCUCACAACAUCUCCACGGUCUCUAUUCAGCUGCGGGGAAACCAGCUGCAUGUUUGUGUAUGUGCGAGUGUGUGUGGCUGCGUGGGGGGUGUAAGGACUGUCGAGGAGCUCGUCCGUAUAUGCUAGUGUGGGCGUAGAGGUGCGGGAGUGUGUUUAUGCCGUCCCCGAGUUUCGAACCCAGCUGUGUCUGAGUGUGUUUUCAAAGCGUCGCCUGCAGCUGUGUGAGUGUCUGCGUUUGUUUGUGUGUGUGUGUGUGUGAGCGUGUUGCUCGGAUUCAGCCCACCAGCGACAGAGCUGGACCUGAACAGCAGCAGUGAGAGGGGGGACAGGGAGGGGGAGGAGGAGAAGGAGAAGAAGAAGAGGAAGAGGGAGGUGAGAGGAACCAGCAGGACGGAGGACAAGAAGAAACUGACAACAUGCUGGACUAAAGAGAAGAAAGAGAGGAGCUUCUGGCUGCCCCCCUGGUGCAAUGUGUGGUGAGUACAUGCUUCUGUGUUUGUGUGUGUGUGCGCUUAUGACUGCCAUGUGUGCAUGUGUGUGAAGAUAAGAGCAUCAUAUCCCCUCAGGAGGUUCUCCAAGGUUAAAGGUUAAAUGUCAAUGAGAGGACUCAGGGUUCAGGGGUAUUAAGAUAGUUAUGGUGAAAUAAGUAUGUCCAGUGGGCCUCAUUAUGUUCCACCAGUUCACGCAUAUUAAUGUAGGUCACAUGACACAGUGCCCAUUUGGUCACAUGACAUCCAGCCUGGGACCCGUGUGUAAGUCAAUCAAGCCCAAAGCAAAUGGAGGCAUGUUCACCCAACUACUCAUCAGUUUGUUGUUGAGAUGCAACACGCUUUUCUUUGCAACUGAUGUCAGUCAAAUUACUUAAUUUCAGCUCCAUAUAUUCAAUACAGAGUUCAUAAACCCUAACAAAUAACACAACUCUUGACCGUAAAUGAUAUUUUUGCACAUUAAUGCUUCUUAAACUCCAAAACAAGAUCAUUACUUUCAAAACCAUGAAAUUGAAGUCUGGACAAUCAGAAAUUUAUUACAGGCAUCUUUCCCAACGCUCACUGG